rnacentral:rRNA from 1 species
UACGGAGGGUGCAAGCGUUAAUCGGAAUUACUGGGCGUAAAGCGCGCGUAGGUGGUUUGUUAAGUUGGAUGUGAAAGCCCCGGGCUCAACCUGGGAACUGCAUUCAAAACUGACAAGCUAGAGUAUGGUAGAGGGUGGUGGAAUUUCCUGUGUAGCGGUGAAAUGCGUAGAUAUAGGAAGGAACACCAGUGGCGAAGGCGACCACCUGGACUGAUACUGACACUGAGGUGCGAAAGCGUGGGGAGCAAACAGG